CCUACGGGAGGCAGCAGUAAGGAAUAUUGGACAAUGCCCGCAAGGGUGAUCCAGCCAUGCCGCGUGCAGGAAGAAGGCCCUAUGGGUCGUAAACUGCUUUUACACCGGAGAAAACCUCCCUUCGUGAAGGGAGCUGAUAGUAUGGUGAGAAUAAGCAUCGGCUAACUUCGUGCCAGCAGCCGCGGUAAGACGAAGGAUGCAAGCGUUAUCCGGAUUCAUUGGGUUUAAAGGGAGCGUAGGUGGACUGAUAAGUCAGUGGUGAAAUCUUCGAGCUUAACUCGGAAAUUGCCAUUGAUACUGUUAGUCUUGAGUACAGUUGCUGUGGGCGGAAUAUGACAUGUAGUGGUGAAAUACAUAGAGAUGUCAUAGAACACCGAUUGCGAAGGCAGCUCACAAAGCUGUAACUGACACUGAGGCUCGAAAGUGCGGGGAUCAAACAGGAUUAGAUACCCUGGUAGUCCGCACUGUAAACGAUGAUUACUCGCUGCUAGAGGGCAACUUUUAGUGGCUUAGCGAAAGCGAUAAGUAAUCCACCUGGGGAGUACGCCGGCAACGGUGAAACGUCAAAGGAAUUGACGG
rnacentral:rRNA from 1 species